AAUAGAAAAAAAAAAUCUUAAAACAUUACGGAGAGCAUGGCAUAUCAUAUAUGUGAUUGAACAUAUAUAUUGUAAUAAUAUAGUUACAUAAGUGAGAGGUUACAAGCCGAACGAAUUCGCCAACAAUUAGGCCAAUCUUUAUCUGUGAAAGAGGGCAUACCCCGCUGGAAAGAUUCAGGAUAUGCAUUAUGCUCACACAUUCAAUUCUCCAAUAUCUGGGCUCAGAGGUUCGAAAAGAGCUUCCACCUCCCUAUCCUCAACUUCCUCCAAGCAACUUGGUUUCCACUUUGGCUUCUGAUCCUUGUCCACUAAGACUGCUCGGACACCUUCAGCAAAGUCGCUCCGUAGAGCGGACCUUAAAGCAAUGCGAUAUUCAGUUCUCAUGACACCAGUGAGCCUGGACAAGUCGUUGUCAGUUUCGCCACGUGCAGAUGCUACCUUAGAGAAGAGCUUUUGGGUGAGACGGAGAGAAAAAGGGGCCCCCUUACUAAUCCCUUGCAGAGCAUCCCUUGCCCAUUCUGCCACCAAUGUAUCAGUGCUUUGCUGAUGAUGUUCUAGCUCUUCUAGUAUCUCCCUAAUGGACUUGUCACCAGCAAAAGUAGAAAUUAUUCUGGGUAAAAGUGACUUCAAACGGGGUUCUGAAUUAGGGUUGCUGCUGUAUUUCGUCAACAGUUGUUUUAUCUCCUCAUCUGGAUCCUCGGAGAAUUUAGUGGCAAGCAAAGCUUCCUUCAAUGUGCCCAAAUUUGCAGAAGGGACAUAAUGAGUUCCCAGACCAACAUAGAGAGCAUCAGCAGGUGUUGAUAUCCUACUUCCAGUCAAUCCAAGAUAAGCACCA
rnacentral:misc_RNA from 1 species